GCCGGUUCCUCGUCGGGGCAGAAGAGGAAGAGCGCGGGAGGAGGUGACGAAGAGGGCGAGCUCGUCGCCGAUGAGCUACUCUGGCGCUUGUCCCUCGGCUCCAUCUACGGCAGCAGCGCCGGCUUGGCGGCUCCGCCGAUGAAUGCGCCGCCCUGCCUCCAUGUGACGCAGGCACCGCCGGUGCCGCGGCGUACCUCGCCUGUGUCGCCGCCAGCCGCCGUCAGUCUAGUGGCGCAUGUCCAGAUGCACGCGGACGGUGCGGCUUUCAUCGCCGCCGGAGCCGGCCAGGUCCUUUCUUCACCAACGCUGUUUGAUGAUGGCAACAGUGCCUCUUCAGUUCGUCCGAGGGCAUCUUAUUCAGGCGUUGUGGUUGCAUCGGCCGCCAUUCCCCUGGCGGCGAAACAAGCGGCGGCUCCUCCUCUCGUGCCGCCGAUAAAACAGGACGCGGUUGCACCGCGGGCUUCACCUCCUGCACACCACCAAUCACCCCGGCGGCGCGUCACCAACAGCGCUCUACCCCAGCCGGCCGCCGUCGACGGUGCCACCGCGGCCAACAAUGCCAUCACCGUCGGGGCUUCGAGCGCCACUGCUUCACCGCCUUCCAUCAACGGUGCCACACCCGCUUCCCCACUGUUUCCGUGGGCGACCAACCGUGCCGCCAUACAUCACCCAGUCUCCUAUCUCUUCGAGCGGGGCAUCACCACCGUGGAGGGUGAGGUGAAGUGCAAACGCUGCGACCUCCUGAAGACGGUCUCCUACAACAUCGCCGUCAAGUUCAAGGAGGUCCGCGACUUCGUGUCCCACAACAUCCACGACAUGGAUGACCGUGCACCUAAAGCGUGGAUGAGCCCCGUCGUGCCAGACUGCGACGGGUGCGGGCAGAGGAACAGCCUGCGGCCGGUGAUACCGAAGGAGAAGGAGAGGGUAAAUUGGGUGUUUCUGCUGCUGGGGCAGACGCUUGGGCUAUGCUCGCUGGAACACCUCAAGUAUUUCUGUGCGUGCACAGGUCAACACCGCACCGGCGCCAAGGACAGGGUGCUCUACUCCACCUACAUGGAGCUUUGCAGCCAGCUCUGCCCUGACAGGCUCUUCAACCUGACCGCGGAGAGGCAGAAGAGGGGUCAGCAGUAU
rnacentral:rRNA from 1 species